rnacentral:rRNA from 1 species
UACGUAGGGGGGCUAGCGUUGUCCGGAAUCAUUGGGCGUAAAGAGCGUGUAGGCGGCUCGGUAAGUCCGCUGUGAAAGUCCAGGGCUCAACCCUGGAAUGCCAGUGGAAACUGUCGAGCUAGAGUCCGGAAGAGGCGAGUGGAAUUCCUGGUGUAGCGGUGAAAUGCGCAGAUAUCAGGAGGAACACCAAUGGCGAAGGCAGCUCGCUGGGACGUUACUGACGCUGAGACGCGAAAGCGUGGGGAGCAAACAGG